UGGAGAGUUUGAUCCUGGCUCAGGACGAACGCUGGCGGCGUGCUUAACACAUGCAAGUCGAGCGGUAAGGCCCUUCGGGGUACACGAGCGGCGAACGGGUGAGUAACACGUGGGUGAUCUGCCUCGUACUCUGGGAUAAGCCUGGGAAACUGGGUCUAAUACCGGAUAUGACCACAUGUCGCAUGGUGUGUGGUGGAAAGAUUUAUCGGUGCGAGAUGGGCCCGCGGCCUAUCAGCUUGUUGGUGGGGUAAUGGCCUACCAAGGCGACGACGGGUAGCCGGCCUGAGAGGGCGACCGGCCACACUGGGACUGAGACACGGCCCAGACUCCUACGGGAGGCAGCAGUGGGGAAUAUUGCACAAUGGGCGGAAGCCUGAUGCAGCGACGCCGCGUGCGGGAUGACGGCCUUCGGGUUGUAAACCGCUUUCGACAGGGACGAAGCGAGAGUGACGGUACCUGUAGAAGAAGCACCGGCCAACUACGUGCCAGCAGCCGCGGUA
rnacentral:rRNA from 1 species